rnacentral:rRNA from 1 species
GGGGAAUUUUCCGCAAUGGGCGCAAGCCUGACGACGCAACGCCGCGUGGAGGAUGAAGACCUUCGGGUCGUAAACUCCUUUCGAUCGGGAAGAACGUUUUCGGGGUGAAUAAUCCCGGGAAGUGACGGUACCGAGAGAAGAAGCCCCGGCUAACUCUGUGCCAGCAGCCGCGGUAAUACAGGGGGGGCAAGCGUUGUUCGGAAUUACUGGGCGUAAAGGGCUCGUAGGCGGCCAACUAAGUCCGACGUGAAAUCCCUAGGCUUAACCUAGGAACUGCGUCGGAUACUGGUUGGCUUGAAUCCGGGAGAGGGAUGCAGAAUUCCAGGUGUAGCGGUGAAAUGCGUAGAUAUCUGGAGGAAUACCGGUGGCGAAGGCGGCAUCCUGGACCGGCAUUGACGCUGAUGAGCGAAAGCUAGGGGAGCAAAAGGAAUUAGAUACCCCUGUAGUC